ACUGCGAAUGGCUCAUUAAAUCAGUUAUCGUUUAUUUGAUAGUACCUUACUACUUGGAUAACCGUGGUAAUUCUAGAGCUAAUACAUGCUAAAAACCCCGACUCACGAAGGGGUGUAUUUAUUAGAUUAAAAACCAAUGCCCUUCGGGGCUCUCUGGUGAUUCAUAAUAACUUCUCGAAUCGCAUGGCCUUGUGCCGGCGAUGGUUCAUUCAAAUUUCUGCCCUAUCAACUUUCGAUGGCAGGGUCUUGGCCUGCCAUGGUUACAACGGGUAACGGAGGGUUAGGGCUCGACCCCGGAGAAGGAGCCUGAGAAACGGCUACUACAUCCAAGGAAGGCAGCAGGCGCGCAAAUUACC
rnacentral:rRNA from 1 species